rnacentral:tRNA from 2 species
CGCGGGGUAGAGCAGUUUGGUAGCUCGUCGGGCUCAUAAUCCGAAGGUCAUAGGUUCAAAUCCUAUCCCCGCAACCA